rnacentral:rRNA from 1 species
UACGAAGGGGGGCUAGCGUUGUUCGGAGUUACUGGGCGUAAAGGGUGUGUAGGCGGUUUUCUAAGUUUGGUGUGAAAUCUCCCGGCUCAACCGGGAGGGUGCGCCGAAAACUGGGAGACUAGAGUGCGGGAUGGGAGAGUAGAAUUCCUGGUGUAGCGGUGAAAUGCGUAGAUAUCAGGAGGAAUACCGGUGGUGUAGACGGCUCUCUGGACCGCCACUGACGCUGAGACACGAAAGCGUGGGUAGCAAACAGG